GGAGAUGUAGCUCAGCGAUAGAACAUUUGCCUGGCAUACAAGAGACCCUGGGUUCAGGCCACAGCAUCACCC
rnacentral:tRNA from 1 species